rfam:Hordeum vulgare subsp. vulgare, WGS project CAJW01000000 data, contig: morex_contig_1583630
AAAAUACUCCCUCCGUCCGAAAAACUUGUCAUAUAAACGAAUGUAUCUAGAUGCAUUUUAGUUCUAGAUAUAUUCAUUUUUAUCAAUUUGUGCGGCAAGUAAUUCCGGACGGAGGGAGUAGUUA